AAGACGGCCCUACGGGUUGUAAACUGCUUUUAUACCGGAAUAAACCUCUUUACGUGUAAGGAGCUGAAUGUACGGUAAGAAUAAGGAUCGGCUAACUCCGUGC
rnacentral:rRNA from 1 species